rnacentral:rRNA from 1 species
CAUGUAGGCGGUUUUUUAAGUCUGGAGUGAAAAUGCGGGGCUCAACCCCGUAUGGCUCUGGAUACUGGAAGACUUGAGUGCAGGAGAGGAAAGGGGAAAUUCCCAGUGUAGCGGUGAAAUGCGUAGAUAUUGGGAGGAACACCAGUGGCGAAGGCGCCUUUCUGGACUGUGUCUGACGCUGAGAUGCGAAAGCCAGGGUAGCGAACG